CCUACGGGGGGCUGCAGUGAGGAAUAUUGGUCAAUGGACGCGAGCCUGAACCAGCCAAGUAGCGUGAAGGAUGACUGCCCUAUGGGUUGUAAACCUCUUUUAUAAAGGAAUAAAACGAGGCACGUGUGCCUUUUUGCAUGUACUUUAUGAAUAAGGAUCGGCUAACUCCGUGCCAGCAGCCGCGGUAAUACGGAGGAUCCGAGCGUUAUCCGGAUUUAUUGGGUUUAAAGGGAGCGUAGAUGGGUUGUUAAGUCAGUUGUGAAAGUUUGCGGCUCAACCGUAAAAUUGCAAUUGAUACUGGCAGUCUUGAGUACAGUUGAGGUAGGCGGAAUUCGUGGUGUAGCGGUGAAAUGCUUAGAUAUCACGAAGAACCCCGAUUGCGAAGGCAGCUUACUAAGCUGUGACUGACGUUGAUGCUCGAAAGUGUGGGGAUCAAACAGGAUUAGAUACCCGUGUAGUC
rnacentral:rRNA from 1 species